ensembl:lncRNA
AUGGCGAGACAUCACAGCCAGGGUGAUGCAGGGACCAGGGAGCUUAAAAGCAUGUGUGGUGGAGACAGUGGCAGCUUCUGUCAUUCAGCAAGCACUCUGUGUGUGUCAUUUCUAUUUUGCCUCCCUCACCGGUUAGGGAGUGGUCAUGAGCGGCCGCCCAGCCCGCGGUCUGUGGAAUGGCCGCAAUCUCAUGUGGCACAUCAACCUCCUGGAGAUGCUGGCCAUGUUUCAGGCACUGAAACACUUUCUCCCAAACCUAAGAGGCCAUCAUAUGUGACAACACAGCAGUGGUCUCUUACAUCAACCACCAGGGAGGUCUGGAUUCGCGCCCCCUUUACAGGCUGGCGCACCAGAUCCUUGUGUGGGCCCAAGGGAACCUCCUUUCGCUAAGAGCAGUGCACAUCCCUGGGCAUCUCAAUCAGGGAGCAGACAUCCUGUCGAGGCAGGGGCCGAGGCCUGGGGAAUGGAGGCUCCACGCCGAGGUGGUGGAGCCGAUUUGGAGGGAGUUCGGCCCGGCUCGAGUGGACUUUUCCGCAACUCAAGAGAUCUCGCACUGUCCACUCUGGUUCUCCCUCACACAUCCAGCUCUGCUUGGUCUGCAUGCCAUAGUGCAGAUGUGGCUGAGGCUUCGUCUGUACGCCUUUCCCCCGAUUGCUCUGCUCCCGGGAGUUCUGGAGAAAGUGCGCCGGGAUGUGGUCCGUCUUCUCUUAGUAGCCCCAUUCUGGCCGGGCCGAGUAUGAUUCUUGGACCUGAUUUCACUUCUCAAUGGCUCUACUUGGGAGAUACCCGUCAGGAGGGAUCUCCUCUCUCAGGCCUUCCCCCCACCCCGGAGUUUUGAAACUGUGGAUGUGGCCCCUGAGGGGGCACAGCUCAUAGGUUCCAGUCUCUCAACUCAACUCACCCAGACCAGUCCAGAGCUCCCUCCACAAGGAAACUGUACUCCUUGACGUGAACCUUCACUUCUUAAUGCAGCAACUGCCAGCUCGACCCAGUUAACUGCCCAGUUGGUUUAGUGCUGGAGUUCUUGCAGGUACGGUUUACCACAGGGUUAUCCCACUCCACUUGAAGGUUCCCGUGGUGGCCCUAGCUGCUUACCACACCCCUCUCAGUGGUCGGUCUUUCAGGAGAGACCCACUAGUUACAUGUUUCCUCUGCGCUGCGCAGAGGCUGAGGCCUCUGGCCAGGAGAAGCUUAUGCUAAGUGGUGGAUCUACGUCACCCCGCCCGUGAUGUCUCGCCCAUACAUUGGACUGAUUACACACGUGAUUAAGAGCGUGGUCACGCUGAAGGCGUUUUGACGUAGCAUCAUAUUUCUUUGGGGAACCAUGGUUACACGCAUAACUUAGAGACGUUUUUCACAUUUGAAAACAAGUAUACAAGUGACAAUACUG